rnacentral:siRNA from 1 species
UCAAACAUGACUGGACCUUUUGA